CUGUUUGGGGCCCUUUGCGGCCCCAUUCAAUCUUGCCCUUGCCUUUUGGAUAUCUCUCAGUUUCCUCGGCGGCUUCGGCCGCCAUCAGAGGACCUCAAACAAACCUUUUUGCAAUUCUAGUACAAUAUUCAGAUCAAAGCAAACCUUA
rnacentral:misc_RNA from 1 species